GACGAACGCUGGCGGCGUGCUUAACACAUGCAAGUCGAACGGAAAGGCCCUGCUUUUGUGGGGUGCUCGAGUGGCGAACGGGUGAGUAACACGUGAGUAACCUGCCCUUGACUUUGGGAUAACUUCAGGAAACUGGGGCUAAUACCGGAUAGGAGCUCCUGCUGCAUGGUGUGGGUUGGAAAGUUUCGGCGGUUGGGGAUGGACUCGCGGCUUAUCAGCUUGUUGGUGGGGUAGUGGCUUACCAAGGCUUUGACGGGUAGCCGGCCUGAGAGGGUGACCGGCCACAUUGGGACUGAGAUACGGACCAGACUCCAACGGGAGGCAGCAGUGGGGAAUAUUGCACAAUGGGCGGAAGCCUGAUGCAGCAACGCCGCGUGCGGGAUGACGGCCUUCGGGUUGUAAACCGCUUUAGCCUGUGACGAAGCGUGAGUGACGGUAAUGGGUAAAGAAGCACCGGCUAACUACGUG
rnacentral:rRNA from 1 species